rnacentral:lncRNA from 1 species
GGAGCAUGAAAAGUAGAGCAAAUAUCGCAGGGGUUUCAGUUGAUGUGAAGUAGAUCUUGCCAUAGUAUGAUCAUGUUGGUUUAGGCUGGAACAGAAUGAUGGCGAAGCCUUAGGGGUGAGUAAAUGGUGGUGACACUGGAAUGCUCUAUUGGCCCCCCUCUCCUCUCCCCACACAACUAUCGAGAACCCAAGGUUUACUCUGUGGAAGGCCAGUCAUUGCAGUGUUGCAUGUGGAUGGAUGGUGGUGGUGCUCAUGACCCAUCGCUACAAGGAAGGGCUGCAGGGAUUCUAUCGAUGUUGCCUUCUUGAUUCCUCCUACGGGUUCUUGCAUGGAUCCAAGAACAAAUCAUGAGCAGCACUCGAGUGCUGCACUUGAUAACCAGUCAAAAAAGCACCCAAACAUCAUGGCAGCUUCCAGGAGGAGGCAUCGAGGUACUUUUCACCAUCAUACCAGACUAAAAAGUUCUCAUUGGAUUGUGCCUCCAAGGCAGGCAGAUCUGGCAAAAUGAUAGGGAUGGAAGGGUCACUUUGGGAUGGGGACAUAAAGGUAGAAGACCUUUCUCUAGAUUUGCCAGUACAACUUGGGAUGGAAAGGGCAGGCAGAUCAGAUAAGUUUGCUUGCCAUGGAACUGCAUCCAACUUGGUAUGCCGGAGUGAGAUUUGUCUUGCAAAAGGUAGGAUUGCAUGGCUAGAGUGUUGCAGGUGCCAUUGACUUCAUGUCACUGAAUGCCCCCACAUGGUCCACUCAUGAUGAGAAAUGCAGAGCCCCUUAAUGUAUGCUGGAACUUUCUUCUAUGACUUUUUAUAUUCUGCUGUCCCUGCUCCACCAACUGGUGGUAGGUCUCCUGGAG